UUUGCAUGUACACGUGAGGCGCCGUUAACUUGGGAACGCCAUCCUUCGGGCAGUCCCCCCCAAGAUUUAGCCUCGGGAGGGUGUACGCUGCCCUUGGUCCCUUUCCCUGCCUUUGUUCUACACUGUUUGUUCUCGCAAUACAGGAGAACAGUGUAGGUAAAUAGUUUGUGAUCUCAAGAGAACACAAGAGUCCGUGAAAUGAAGAAGAACUGAGAAAAGUGUUGCCAUGACAGGCCAUGUUUGUCUGCCUGUCUGUCUGUCUGCCUGUCUGUCUGUCUGUCUGUCUGUCUGUCUGUCUGUCUGUCUGCCCAGGUGUUGCCAUGACAGGCCAGGUGAGUGUCCACUAAUUACCAGGUGAGGAGGAGGACGCCCACUGAGGUAAUAUGUAAUGGAGAAGAAAAAAGAAGAAAAGAGGAAGAGAAAGAGAAGAUGAAUGAAAGGGAGUCCAUCAUUACAGAAGGAGAGGAAGCAGAGGAAGAGGCAGUCCUAUACUUCUCAAGAAACUACAAGGUUCUUCUCUAUUUCACAUAUGUUAUACCUGAAGCUGCACCGGCUGGGCAUCAAUUGGCUCUCAGGUGAUCUGCUUUACUGAUCACACCCAUCAUCGGAGGGUCCAGGAAAGGCAGUUCUCUCUCUCCACGUUUAUUGAUGAGGAGAAGAAAAAGAAGAAAAAAGAAGAGGAGGAGGAAGAGAAGAUGAAUAAAAUGGAAUCAAUCAUUACAAAGGGAGAGGGAGCAGAAGAAGCACCACCACCACCACCACUACUACAAGUACUACUAUUAACACCACCACCACUACUACUACUACAGUUUUAAAUAUGCACACAAUGAGAGAGAGAGAGAGAGAGAGAGAGAGAGUGAGAGAGAGUUUAAGCCGUAAACAGUAAGGUGUUUAAUGUUUCUUUUAUUUGCUGUCAUAUUGGUUUACUUAUUAUUAUUAUUAUUAUUGUUGUUAUUGUUGUUGUUGUUGUUGUUGUUGUUGUUGUUGUUAUAAUCAUCGUCAUCAUCAUUACUAUGUUACCAUUAUCAUGAUGUUUUGUCAAGGAUUACAUCAGAUGCAAGUCAAUAAGUGAAUAAGGCCCUCCUCCUCCUCCUCCUCCUCCUCCUCCUCCUCCUCCUCCUCCUCCUCCUCCUCCUCCUCCUCCUCCUCCUCUUCUCCUCCUCUUCUCCUCCUCCUCUUUUUCUCCUCUCCUCCUUUUCUCCUCCUCCUCCUCCUCCUCCAUAAUGUCUUUCUUCACCACUUGAAGAUUUCAGUGUAUCAUAUGUAUUUUUUACCUAUAUAUAUAUCCUCAUCCUCCUCUCAGGCCAUUUAGCUUCAAAUUUCAUGUAGUCUUUUUCUUUUUUGUACUGCGUGGAGAACUCUCACCUCGGAGAGUGUCUAUUUCGGUCCCGUUUUUGGUUUGUACCGGGUGCCGAGAUCGCGUCAGAAAAAUGGUGGCGUCUAUUUUAAGUGAUCAAGAAAUUCUUUGCAGUUAAGGUCAAUUAAUUAAAUAAAGUCGAAUUAUUCUUGAUUACUGCCUGCUUUAAACCUGCUGGAGUUCUUGCCAAAUCGCUCACAGGUGGUGGCCCAAGAAAUGGCACUCAGCUAGACAUAUGGUUUGGCGCACAUCCACGCAGGGUUGCUGCAGUCAGUGGCCAAGGAUUUAUUAGUCUUGUUUUCAAACAAAACAUGAUUCAAGAUGUAUUUUUUGACCACUUGAUAGAAGCUCUCCCUCGUCCCAGGCCCGUGUUUCUUUUUUGUACUGCGUGGAGAACUCUCACCUCGGAGAGUGUCUAUUUCGGUCCCGUUUUUGGUUUGUACCGGGUGCCGAGAUCGCGUCAGAAAAAUGGUGGCGUCUAUUUUAAGUGAUCAAGAAAUUCUUUGCAGUUAAGGUCAAUUAAUUAAAUAAAGUCGAAUUAUUCUUGAUUACUGCCUGCUUUAAACCUGCUGGAGUUCUUGCCAAAUCGCUCACAGGUGGUGGCCCAAGAAAUGGCACUCAGCUAGACAUAUGGUUUGGCGCACAUCCACGCAGGGUUGCUGCAGUCAGUGGCCAAGGAUUUAUUAGUCUUGUUUUCAAACAAAACAUGAUUCAAGAUGUAUUUUUUGACCACUUGAUAGAAGCUCUCCCUCGUCCCAGGCCCGUGUUUCUUUUUUGUACUGCGUGGAGAACUCUCACCUCGGAGAGUGUCUAUUUCGGUCCCGUUUUUGGUUUGUACCGGGUGUCGAGAUCGCGUCAGAAAAAUGGUGGCGUCUAUUUUAAGUGAUCAAGAAAUUCUUUGCAGUUAAGGUCAAUUAAUUAAAUAAAGUCGAAUUAUUCUUGAUUACUGCCUGCUUUAAACCUGCUGGAGUUCUUGCCAAAUCGCUCACAGGUGGUGGCCCAAGAAAUGGCACUCAGCUAGACAUAUGGUUUGGCGCACAUCCACGCAGGGUUGCUGCAGUCAGUGGCCAAGGAUUUAUUAGUCUUGUUUUCAAACAAAACAUGAUUCAAGAUGUAUUUUUUGACCACUUGAUAGAAGCUCUCCCUCGUCCCAGGCCCGUGUUUCUUUUUUGUACUGCGUGGAGAACUCUCACCUCGGAGAGUGUCUAUUUCGGUCCCGUUUUUGGUUUGUACCGGGUGUCGAGAUCGCGUCAGAAAAAUGGUGGCGUCUAUUUUAAGUGAUCAAGAAAUUCUUUGCAGUUAAGGUCAAUUAAUUAAAUAAAGUCGAAUUAUUCUUGAUUACUGCCUGCUUUAAACCUGCUGGAGUUCUUGCCAAAUCGCUCACAGGUGGUGGCCCAAGAAAUGGCACUCAGCUAGACAUAUGGUUUGGCGCACAUCCACGCAGGGUUGCUGCAGUCAGUGGCCAAGGAUUUAUUAGUCUUGUUUUCAAACAAAACAUGAUUCAAGAUGUAUUUUUUGACCACUUGAUAGAAGCUCUCCCUCGUCCCAGGCCCGUGUUUCUUUUUUGUACUGCGUGGAGAACUCUCACCUCGGAGAGUGUCUAUUUCGGUCCCGUUUUUGGUUUGUACCGGGUGUCGAGAUCGCGUCAGAAAAAUGGUGGCGUCUAUUUUAAGUGAUCAAGAAAUUCUUUGCAGUUAAGGUCAAUUAAUUAAAUAAAGUCGAAUUAUUCUUGAUUACUGCCUGCUUUAAACCUGCUGGAGUUCUUGCCAAAUCGCUCACAGGUGGUGGCCCAAGAAAUGGCACUCAGCUAGACAUAUGGUUUGGCGCACAUCCACGCAGGGUUGCUGCAGUCAGUGGCCAAGGAUUUAUUAGUCUUGUUUUCAAACAAAACAUGAUUCAAGAUGUAUUUUUUGACCACUUGAUAGAAGCUCUCCCUCGUCCCAGGCCCGUGUUUCUUUUUUGUACUGCGUGGAGAACUCUCACCUCGGAGAGUGUCUAUUUCGGUCCCGUUUUUGGUUUGUACCGGGUGUCGAGAUCGCGUCAGAAAAAUGGUGGCGUCUAUUUUAAGUGAUCAAGAAAUUCUUUGCAGUUAAGGUCAAUUAAUUAAAUAAAGUCGAAUUAUUCUUGAUUACUGCCUGCUUUAAACCUGCUGGAGUUCUUGCCAAAUCGCUCACAGGUGGUGGCCCAAGAAAUGGCACUCAGCUAGACAUAUGGUUUGGCGCACAUCCACGCAGGGUUGCUGCAGUCAGUGGCCAAGGAUUUAUUAGUCUUGUUUUCAAACAAAACAUGAUUCAAGAUGUAUUUUUUGACCACUUGAUAGAAGCUCUCCCUCGUCCCAGGCCCGUGUUUCUUUUUUGUACUGCGUGGAGAACUCUCACCUCGGAGAGUGUCUAUUUCGGUCCCGUUUUUGGUUUGUACCGGGUGCCGAGAUCGCGUCAGAAAAAUGGUGGCGUCUAUUUUAAGUGAUCAAGAAAUUCUUUGCAGUUAAGGUCAAUUAAUUAAAUAAAGUCGAAUUAUUCUUGAUUACUGCCUGCUUUAAACCUGCUGGAGUUCUUGCCAAAUCGCUCACAGGUGGUGGCCCAAGAAAUGGCACUCAGCUAGACAUAUGGUUUGGCGCACAUCCACGCAGGGUUGCUGCAGUCAGUGGCCAAGGAUUUAUUAGUCUUGUUUUCAAACAAAACAUGAUUCAAGAUGUAUUUUUUGACCACUUGAUAGAAGCUCUCCCUCGUCCCAGGCCCGUGUUUCUUUUUUGUACUGCGUGGAGAACUCUCACCUCGGAGAGUGUCUAUUUCGGUCCCGUUUUUGGUUUGUACCGGGUGCCGAGAUCGCGUCAGAAAAAUGGUGGCGUCUAUUUUAAGUGAUCAAGAAAUUCUUUGCAGUUAAGGUCAAUUAAUUAAAUAAAGUCGAAUUAUUCUUGAUUACUGCCUGCUUUAAACCUGCUGGAGUUCUUGCCAAAUCGCUCACAGGUGGUGGCCCAAGAAAUGGCACUCAGCUAGACAUAUGGUUUGGCGCACAUCCACGCAGGGUUGCUGCAGUCAGUGGCCAAGGAUUUAUUAGUCUUGUUUUCAAACAAAACAUGAUUCAAGAUGUAUUUUUUGACCACUUGAUAGAAGCUCUCCCUCGUCCCAGGCCCGUGUUUCUUUUUUGUACUGCGUGGAGAACUCUCACCUCGGAGAGUGUCUAUUUCGGUCCCGUUUUUGGUUUGUACCGGGUGUCGAGAUCGCGUCAGAAAAAUGGUGGCGUCUAUUUUAAGUGAUCAAGAAAUUCUUUGCAGUUAAGGUCAAUUAAUUAAAUAAAGUCGAAUUAUUCUUGAUUACUGCCUGCUUUAAACCUGCUGGAGUUCUUGCCAAAUCGCUCACAGGUGGUGGCCCAAGAAAUGGCACUCAGCUAGACAUAUGGUUUGGCGCACAUCCACGCAGGGUUGCUGCAGUCAGUGGCCAAGGAUUUAUUAGUCUUGUUUUCAAACAAAACAUGAUUCAAGAUGUAUUUUUUGACCACUUGAUAGAAGCUCUCCCUCGUCCCAGGCCCGUGUUUCUUUUUUGUACUGCGUGGAGAACUCUCACCUCGGAGAGUGUCUAUUUCGGUCCCGUUUUUGGUUUGUACCGGGUGUCGAGAUCGCGUCAGAAAAAUGGUGGCGUCUAUU